rnacentral:misc_RNA from 1 species
AGGCACCUUUCUUCUUCACAAAACCAAAGACAUGGUUGAUGGUCCUGCCAUGCUGCCUGUGCGACUUCCCAAGCAUGGUGAUGAUGAGAAUGGUUUUGGGCAAGAGGGUAUUCCCUUGAGGCGGCAAGAUUCCUUGAGAUCACCAUAAUGUAUGAUUUUUGUAUUUUCCUUCCCUAUUCCCCACCAACCUGUCCAACUGUUUAACCGCCCAAUUCAGCUGCACCAGUCCAUUCUCAUAGUAUUUUCUUCUCAGAAGGGACCACACUCAUAUUGUAUACAAUUGGGGGACUCUUUAUAAUAUUCAGCAAGAGAAAUGAAGGCGCUUUCUCACCCUUCUUGUAUCGAUAGAAUCAUCAGAAACUUGUUCAUGUGAUUGCUAAGCCUAUUGUACAGAAGCUCAGUUCUCUAUGUAUUUCCGAGCAGAUUGGUUCCAGGCGCACUAUCUUGACAUACCUGUAAAAAUAACUAGUAUAUUCGAUCGUUUAACAAGAACUAAAUCAGUUGGAUUUUUGUAUGCUCCAUCAGCCAUUAAUGUAAUAGCUUUAUCCUA